AUGAACGCUAGCUACAGGCUUAACACAUGCAAGUCGAGGGGCAGCAUGGUCUUAGCUUGCUAAGGCCGAUGGCGACCGGCGCACGGGUGAGUAACACGUAUCCAACCUGCCGUCUACUCUUGGACAGCCUUCUGAAAGGAAGAUUAAUACAAGAUGGCAUCAUGAGUCCGCAUGUUCACAUGAUUAAAGGUAUUCCGGUAGACGAUGGGGAUGCGUUCCAUUAGAUAGUAGGCGGGGUAACGGCCCACCUAGUCUUCGAUGGAUAGGGGUUCUGAGAGGAAGGUCCCCCACAUUGGAACUGAGACACGGUCCAAACUCCUACGGGAGGCAGCAGUGAGGAAUAUUGGUCAAUGGGCGAGAGCCUGAACCAGCCAAGUAGCGUGAAGGAUGACUGCCCUAUGGGUUGUAAACUUCUUUUAUAAAGGAAUAAAGUCGGGUAUGGAUACCCGUUUGCAUGUACUUUAUGAAUAAGGAUCGGCUAACUCCGUGCCAGCAGCCGCGGUAAUACGGAGGAUCCGAGCGUUAUCCGGAUUUAUUGGGUUUAAAGGGAGCGUAGAUGGAUGUUUAAGUCAGUUGUGAAAGUUUGCGGCUCAACCGUAAAAUUGCAGUUGAUACUGGAUAUCUUGAGUGCAGUUGAGGCAGGCGGAAUUCGUGGUGUAGCGGUGAAAUGCUUAGAUAUCACGAAGAACUCCGAUUGCGAAGGCAGCCUGCUAAGCUGCAACUGACAUUGAGGCUCGAAAGUGUGGGUAUCAAACAGGAUUAGAUACCCUGGUAGUCCACACGGUAAACGAUGAAUACUCGCUGUUUGCGAUAUACUGCAAGCGGCCAAGCGAAAGCGUUAAGUAUUCCACCUGGGGAGUACGCCGGCAACGGUGAAACUCAAAGGAAUUGACGGGGGCCCGCACAAGCGGAGGAACAUGUGGUUUAAUUCGAUGAUACGCGAGGAACCUUACCCGGGCUUAAAUUGCAGAUGAAUUACGGUGAAGGCCGUAAGCCGCAAGGCAUCUGUGAAGGUGCUGCAUGGUUGUCGUCAGCUCGUGCCGUGAGGUGUCGGCUUAAGUGCCAUAACGAGCGCAACCCUUGUUGUCAGUUACUAACAGGUUCCGCUGAGGACUCUGACAAGACUGCCAUCGUAAGAUGUGAGGAAGGUGGGGAUGACGUCAAAUCAGCACGGCCCUUACGUCCGGGGCUACACACGUGUUACAAUGGGGGGUACAGAGGGCCGCUACCACGCGAGUGGAUGCCAAUCCCCAAAACCUCUCUCAGUUCGGACUGGAGUCUGCAACCCGACUCCACGAAGCUGGAUUCGCUAGUAAUCGCGCAUCAGCCACGGCGCGGUGAAUACGUUCCCGGGCCUUGUACACACCGCCCGUCAAGCCAUGGGAGCCGGGGGUACCUGAAGUGCGUAACCGCGAGGAGCGCCCUAGGGUAAAACUGGUGACUGGGGCU
rnacentral:rRNA from 1 species